ACNCAANNUAAAUCGAGCGCCCCGCAAGGGGAGCGGCAGACGGGUGAGUAACGCGUGGGAAUCUACCCAUCUCUACGGAACAACUCCGGGAAACUGGAGCUAAUACCGUAUACGCCCUUCGGGGGAAAGAUUUAUCGGAGAUGGAUGAGCCCGCGUUGGAUUAGCUAGUUGGUGGGGUAAAGGCCUACCAAGGCGCCGAUCCAUAGCUGGUCUGACAGGAUGAUCAGCCACACUGGGACUGAGACACGGCCCAGACUCCUACGGGAGGCAGCAGUAUC
rnacentral:rRNA from 1 species